rnacentral:lncRNA from 1 species
CCGUUCCACCGGAGAGAGACUGAGGAUUUCUGCUUCUGGUCUGAAGGACAAAAUUUUAGGGAAAAACUUUGAUUGGUCCAACAUAGAUGGAGAAAUGACAACUGGAGAGGGGAGUUCUACUGGAGAGGGGAGUUCACACAUAUACACUGAAAGCUGCCCAUCAAAAGAGUUGCAGAACCAGGACUACAGCCCUUGCAUCUUGACUGCCAGUACGAUGCAGGUUAAACUCUGUGUUUGAUGCUUGUUGAUGUGGACGUCUGGAACUUGAAUAGAAGACAUUUCUUAUUUCAGAUGCAUCCAUUAGCAGGUCUUAGCCAGGAGCCAGGCCCUUGCAAGUAUAUAUUGCAAGUAAUUGAUGACAUUGGAGCCAGAAAUCGAAUGAACCGGGCCCAGUUCAAUCCACUUACUGGACAAGCUCCUCAAGCACUCUAAGCCCCAAUUUCCUCCUCUGUAAAGUGGGCAUAAAUUACAUUUACCUUGAGGGUUGCUGUGAAGGCU